AUUAAACGCUGGCGGCAUGCCUUACACAUGCAAGUCGAACGGCAGCACGGGGGCAACCCUGGUGGCGAGUGGCGAACGGGUGAGUAAAGCAUCGGAACGUGCCCUGGAGUGGGGGAUAACGUAGCGAAAGUUACGCUAAUACCGCAUAUUCUGUGAGCAGGAAAGCAGGGGAUCGCAAGACCUUGCGUUCUGGGAGCGGCCGAUGUCGGAUUAGCUAGUUGGUGGGGUAAAGGCCUACCAAGGCGACGAUCCGUAGCGGGUCUGAGAGGAUGAUCCGCCACACUGGGACUGAGACACGGCCCAGACUCCUACGGGAGGCAGCAGUGGGGGAAUUUUGGACAAUGGGCGAAAGCCUGAUCCAGCCAUGCCGCGUGAGUGAAGAAGGCCUCGGUUGUAAGCUCUUCGGUGGG
rnacentral:rRNA from 1 species